rnacentral:rRNA from 1 species
AUACGGAGGGGGCUAGCGUUGUUCGGAAUCACUGGGCGUAAAGCGCACGUAGGUGGACUAAUUAGUUGAGGGUGAAAUCCCGGGGCUUAACCUCGGAACUGCCUUCAAUACUGUUAGUCUUGAGUCCGAGAGAGGUGAGUGGAAUUCCUAGUGUAGAGGUGAAAUUCGUAGAUAUUAGGAAGAACACCAGUGGCGAAGGCGGCUCACUGGCUCGGUACUGACGCUGAGGUGCGAAAGCGUGGGGAGCAAACAGGAUUAGAAACCCUAGUAGUCC